rnacentral:rRNA from 1 species
CCCUUAGACGUUCUGGGCCGCACGCGCGCUACACUGACCAGUGCAACAAGCAUCCGUCCUUGGCCGACAGGCUCGGGCAAUCUUUGAACGCUGGUCGUGAUGGGGAUAGACUUUUGCAAUUUUUGGUCUUCAACGAGGAAUUCCUAGUAAACGCAAGUCACCAACUUGCAUUGAUUACGUCCCUGCCCUUUGUACACACCGCCCGUCGCACCUACCGAUUGAAUGGUCCGGUGAAGCCUCCGGAUUGGCGCGCACCUCGGUGCCGCCGAGAAGUUGGCUAAACCUUACCAUUUAGAGGAAGGUGAAGUCGUANCA